CAGUUCGGAUUGUAGGCUGAAACUCGCCUACAUGAAGCUGGAGUUACUAGUAAUCGCAGAUCAGAAUGCUGCGGUGAAUACGUUCCCGGGUCUUGUACACACCGCCCGUCACACCAUGGGAGUCGGAAAUGCCCGAAGCCGGUGACCCAACCAAAAGGAGGGAGCCGUCGAAGGCAGGUCUGAUAACUGGGGUGAAGUCGUAACAAGGUAUC
rnacentral:rRNA from 1 species